GUUACCCAUACCAAAUGUCAUGGCCACCAACUACCAAUUCAGGAUCCACACCUCCUCCAGAAGAUACAGGCAUAGACCUGGAUGAUGGCAGUGCUAUGAUUCAGCCUGUGGAGACGGUUAUUUCUUCAGAUAAUUCUGAAACAACGCUGGGGCACCUGGAUGAGCAAAUGCCUUCACCAUCAAGUAAUUCUCUUGUGGUUGAGUCUGAGAUAAUCUCCACAACCAUGGU